UGAACGACUCUCGGCAACGGAUAUCUCGGCUCUCGCAUCGAUGAAGAACGUAGCGAAAUGCGAUACUUGGUGUGAAUUGCAGAAUCCCGUGAACCAUCGAGUCUUUGAACGCAAGUUGCGCCCGAGGCCUCCUGGUCGAGGGCACGUCUGCCUGGGUGUCACGC
rnacentral:rRNA from 4 species